CAGAGCCUAUAGCCACCUUGCCACCUGCCAGCUCUACCUCAAUGGGAGGGUUUUGAUGGCCAGUCAUGACUAGCGAUGGCCUUGGAGAAAGACGGUGAGUUAAGGUCAUCUUUCAGAGUUCAUUCUCCCUUCACAGACGAGGAACCUGAAGUUCAAAGAUAGAUAGGGAAUGAUCCGCUGAGAGUCGCCAGGACCCUCUGUGGGAGAACGCGGCUUCAGCAUCGCAGCACUGCUCAUGAGGCAGUGAGCCAGGAAGGAGCUGUCUUAGGUAGAAAUCUGGCUCCUAACUCUGUUCCAAGGCCCAGCAGAAAUUUUGAGAUUGCCCUCUUUCCUCUAUGAGGAAACGGCGAACACACAGGCUUGGACUAGUUAUAAUCUUUUGUGCCUGACACAUUCUCAUCAUUUAUUUAAUUUGCUCUCAAAAAGCAAACAGAACCCACGAGUACAAGGACCUGUACCAUAACCUACGUCUAAUUAGAUAGUGCCCCCAUGCAUUCUCCUGCUGUCCCACCACAGCACAGUAUCGCCUCAAGACCUGUAUUCGGCAUUCUCUGGCUUUCUUUUUCAUGUGAUUUCAUUAUACCUACAUAUUCCUUCAAACUAUGUGUCUUCACUUAAUGUAUUAUCUUAAACUUAAUUUUAAGUUCAUCUAUUGGGCCAGCCCUGUGGCUUAGUGGUUAAGGGAGCUGGAUCCCACAUGGUCAGCUGUGUGAUUGGAAUCCCAGCCUCAGAUAUCUUUUCGGAUUUUGAUCAUUGAUCAUUUCAUGCCCUCAGAGGCCCUGCCAGGCCCUCAGGCCUCAGGUAGAAAACUUUCCCUGUCCCUAAACUAAGCCAGGGUCCCCCCAGUCCUCAGGAUAUCUCAGCCAGUGACCACACCAUGAGUUCUUCGUCUCUCUGGUGACACCGUCCUUGUCCCCUGGCCCUCUGUGAUUUUCUGUGCAGUCCCCCCAGCUGUAUGACCCAGGCGUAUGUGUUUAUUUCAUUAUUGCCUGUCUCCCUGAGCACAGGGACCCACUUCCAGCAUGAUGCCCAGCAUACAGUAGGCACUCGGUACAUGUUCUUCACUGGAUGAACUCCUUCCUGGUCUUCACCUCCUUCUGAAGUUCUUUCUGAGGGUAAGGCCUGGAUCUGAGCUGCUUCUGUGUGGCCAGCGCCAGCACAAAGGCUCACGGAGAAUGUUUGCUGAUGGAUGAGGGAUGGAGGGAGGAGCCCGCUGCAGCCAUUGCUAGGACACAUCCACUGCCCUUGGGCUCUUCCGGCUUGGAAUGGAAAUCUCUCCAAGACCAGUCCUGGUUCCUGACUCCAGCUCCCCAAACCUUGACCCCCAGUACCCUGGCUCCCUGUUCUCAACUGCCAGUAGCCAACACUGAAAGAUCUUUGUCCUAGAAGUGGCUUGCUGGGCCUAGCCUCCCUGGGGAACUUCCAUUCUGCUCUUCUUUACCCCUCACCUCCACUCCCCCGCCACCAGCCCACUGCCGCAUCAUGCCACUAUAGUCCAGAGACCCCCAGACUUUGUCUCUCCUCACUGUCUCCCUCAGGAAGCCAAUCCAGCUUGCAGCCCCAGCCACUCAGGGCUGACAGCUGCAGGCUUGGUGCUUUCCUAAGAAGGCUCCCAGGUGUCUCUGGGUCUUGGUGACCUCUAGCACCCACCUAGGUGAGGUCUCAUCCCUGGCCCAGGUCACUGCCUGGCCUUCACCUAAUGCCCAUCAUCUUGGGAUGGGGCUCGUUUGGGCUGAGCUAGCAAAGACCCACAAAAUGAGUGGCUUAAAAAAGACAUUUAUCUCCUUCUCAUGCAGAAGUCCAGAUUUAGAUUAAGCCCAUGUUGGAGUGGUUAGAGACCCGAGAUGCUUCUGGCUUCCACUAUGGAAGGGGCCCUGGCCCUCACUGUCAGGAUGGUACUCCAUUGUCACAUCCACCUCUGAUCAACAGGAAGGUGGGGGGAGACAGAGGCCACUUGUCUCUUAAGGACACCCCCCUCCCCUUAGUCAACUGCCUUAGGUCACUUCCCUUUUAUCCCAUUGGCCGGGAAGAUCUUACCUGGCUAUACCUAGCUGGAAGGGGGUCUGAAAAUGAAGUUUUCAUUCCAGGAGGCCGCGUGCCCAGCUAAUGGGGCAAGACUGAUACUGUGAUUAUCACCCUGCUGCUCUGUCACGCCUUCAUGAGGUCCCAUUACUGGACCCGGACAGGGGUGGUGGGUGCUUGGAUGGCAGGGAAAGAAAGGAAAGGAAGGGGGGGGCUAGGCAAGGGGCAUCUGAGAUCUGGGUUAGGGAAGGGCAGUGUGAGCUUGGCAGGUCCCUACCCGUGCCUGGGCCUCAGUUUACACAUCUGCAACAGGAAAUCUAAGGAAGGACAGCAUGUGUAUAAAGCACGUUGCAAGGCCCAGUAAGUGGUCACUGCUGUCAUUGUUUUGGUACCCUGGACGUCCCUAGACUGAUGCCCAAGGCCCUCACUGCCCAGCCUCACCUCCUCUUCCCACAACCUCCAUGCCUUUCCCUGGGCUGUUUUUUUGCAUAAGAAACACCCUGACCCGACUUCCUUCCCAUUGUACCCACCCUCCAAGGCUUAGUUGCCCUGCUCUGUCCCCAAGAAUGUCUUUCCUAACCAUGGUAAGAGUCACCUUGGCCAUACCCCAACCCCUCCCCACACUCCACCUCCACACCCUGUGUGCCCUGUGUCUCCCGUCCAGAAGGAGAACAUCCCCAGGAGAAGGCCCCACUCUCCACGCCACCACUGAGUGUGCUCUGGCUUAGGAGGAGGGAAGAGAAAAAGAGGAAAGGGUGAACGUGAGGCUCCUGGUGGAGUCCCUGGCACUGGCAUGUACUAAUGAUUUUUCCUUCUUAUGGGGACAGGUGGGGCUCCUGGCUUACGGUCCCUAGUCUCAGAAAGUGGGAUGAGGAGCCUUGUAUUUUGUGGGACUCCUGUGUGUGUACCUAUCAUUGAAAUGAUUUUUCUCUGUUAAUCUCUGCGAGCUUAUACCACAGACUGUCACCAAACCUUCAGCAGGCAGACAGGUCUUCCUCUACUAUGCAAAAUCUGAGAAUGAGCAGGACCCGAGCUGAAAGGGAGUAAGGGGUUUUUCUUAGAGGAAUCUAAAUGGGGUCACAUAAAAAGCUAGGAGAAUAAAGAAGAGGGAAAAAUGUACGAUAACCUUUUUUUCUUUUCAAGACAGAGUCUCAUGUUGUCUAAACUGGACUCAAACUCACUGUCCUCCUGCGGCAGCUGGGAUUACAGGAACAGAUCACUGCCUGGAUGACCUCCCAUGGCCGCCCCCACCAGGAUGGUCCACUCUGUUCCAGGAACGGGAGCAGUUCCAAGAGCUUCCUGGGCAUGGCAGUUCCAGGGCAAGGUGUGGAUUGGACACCUGAGUGGCCUCAGUUCCUUCCGGCUGGGUAGGAAACACAGGGCUGUCCCCAUCCUGCCUCAUCCAGAGGACCCAGGUGUGUAGACCUGGAGAGACCCCAAGCCCACCUCUCUGUUCAGGAAGAAAAAGAAGAAAAGGGAAAAAGAAGAGA